rnacentral:misc_RNA from 1 species
GUCCAUACAUCGAAUCAAACUCCUUUUUUAGGGAGCGAGCGAGGAGGGAGGGAUUAGGACGGUGAUUCACAGGUUGGAGGAGAAGAGUUCUGGCGUAACGAAGGGCAUGUGCUUGCAUGGCGAAAGGCAUAUCUGCUGAUCUGAGCCGUAUGUUAAAGCUGAUAGCAAGAGCUGCAAGCUUCACUUCUUCUUCUGCCGACAUAGACUUGCUAAUGCCAUUUUCAUUGUUGUUAUUAGGCUUCUGGCGCCG